rnacentral:rRNA from 1 species
GACGAACUUCUUUAUCACCGAGUGCUUGCACUCACCGAUAAAGAGUUGAGUGGCGAACGGGUGAGUAACACGUGGGCAACCUGCCCAAAAGAGGGGGAUAACACUUGGAAACAGGUGCUAAUACCGCAUAACCAUAGUUACCGCAUGGUAACUAUGUAAAAGGUGGCUAUGCUACCGCUUUUGGAUGGGCCCGCGGCGCAUUAGCUAGUUGGUGGGGUAAAGGCUUACCAAGGCAAUGAUGCGUAGCCGAACUGAGAGGUUGAUCGGCCACAUUGGGACUGAGACACGGCCCAAACUCCUACGGGAGGCAGCAGUAGGGAAUCUUCCACAAUGGGCGAAAGCCUGAUGGAGCAACGCCGCGUGGGUGAAGAAGGUCUUCGGAUCGUAAAACCCUGUUGUUAGAGAAGAAAGUGCGUGAGAGUAACUGUUCACGUUUCGACGGUAUCUAACCAGAAAGCCACGGCUAACUACGUGCCAGCAGCCGCGGUAAUACGUAGGUGGCAAGCGUUAUCCGGAUUUAUUGGGCGUAAAGGGAACGCAGGCGGUCUUUUAAGUCUGAUGUGAAAGCCUUCGGCUUAACCGGAGUAGUGCAUUGGAAACUGGGAGACUUGAGUGCAGAAGAGGAGAGUGGAACUCCAUGUGUAGCGGUGAAAUGCGCAGAUAUAUGGAAGAACACCAGUGGCGAAAGCGGCUCUCUGGUCUGUAACUGACGC